UUGCUUCGGCAGCACAUAUACUAAAACUGGAAUGAUACAGAGAAGUUUAGCAUGGUCCCUGUGCAAGGAUGACACACAAAACUCUUCAGGGUUUUAACUUUAAA
ensembl:snRNA U6 U6 spliceosomal RNA